CACAAGACCAGGAGAAAAGACAACAUUCUAGGAAAACAUAUACAUAGGAAACCAUGAGGGUGCGGGGUGUGAUUAACAAUGUCAAAUGCUUUCAACUCUUCCACUUGCUUUGAUAAACUUUCCUCCACCCUAAAAUUUUUCACAUAAUACUCCUACCCUAACUGAAAACUUGGUCUCCCUCAAAAACACUGUCUGUCUUGGGAACCUUUCAAGUAAAAGCUGGCCAACUGAUAAAUUCUCUCAUGCCCCAGGUUUCAUAGGACCAGGUGGGGAUUGGAUUCUACUACAUUUCACAGCCACUUGCAAUAAUUAGUCUUCCACUCUAAUAUAAAAAAACCACUCUGGUCUGGCUCAGUCUAAGUAGAGCUACUGUGCUUAGACAUCUAUAAACAUCCCAGUUAUUUCCCACCGUGAUCACUGAAGGCUUUUGCCUUUUUGGCUCACGGGUGUUUUCAACUCUAGUAACCUUAAACUCUAAUUUAGCAAAGUUUUCACUUGAGUACCUUGAAAUGCUCCCCUCCUGAAAUCUUUAUUUAAACAAAUGCUGAGAGUCUUUAGUAUGAUGGCUUAAAAAAAAAUACAUCUAAAAAGGGAUGAAAGUAAACAUCUAUGAUAUCAACAUCCAGAGACAGCCAAUAUCAACUGGAGUUAUUUUUUUUUCCUCACAGAAUAUCCAGGAACUCAACUCAAUUCUGAUACUAUCUGCCCAGAGACAGCACCAGAUUCCCCAGGUUAAGGGUUCCAUCCUACAAGACUGCCUUCCAUCCCCCACUCCAGAUGCCAGUCGCAAGCCCCAGACAGUUAUCUGACCAACCAGCUAUAAAUUGGAGGUUCCAGGGACUUCCACCUUAGGUCUGAAUAAUUUGCUAGAGCAGCUCACAUAACUCAGAGAAACACUUUCACCAGUUUAAUAAAGGAUACAGUAAAUUAUACAAGUUAAUAGCCAUGUGAAGAGAUACAUAGGCACUAGGCAGGGUCCCAAAUAAAGGAGCUUCUAGCCUCAUGAAGCUGGGGGCCUGGCUCGGUGGCAUGUACCCUCUAGGGAGGAAUGUCCAUAAUGGGAGAAGCCACACACAUGUGAGGGAAGGGGAAUUCUCUAUACCUUCCUCUCAAUUGUGCUGUAAACCUAAAACUGCUCUAAAAAACACAGUCUUUAAAAUAUAUAUACACACAUGUAUACUUACAUUUCUUCUAAGAGAGUUACUACUAAAGGCAAAUUUUGCCAUAUGAAAUGCAAAUUAGUCUUACCAUCCAUAUUACCACCCACAAACAAAUACACAAUUAAUGCCUAGUUCCUGUAAUGACAGGCUUAAUUAUAAGGCUUCAUUCAGCCCUUCCACAGCAACUUUAUUUUUUUUUACUGAGAAGAAAACAGAACAAGUAAGACCAGAUGAAAGGACUAUAGGAGGCAUAUUGAGAUGGCUUAUUUAAAAGCAAAUAGCUUUAGACAGUAGACUGUGGUAUAUUACAAAUAUAUAAUGUUAAUAUCUAGAGCAACCCCUAAAAAACUAUACACAGAAAAGUACUCAAGGACAUUAUAAAUAAGUCAAAAUGGAAUUCUAAAACACAUUCAAUAACUCAUAAGGAGAGAAAUAUAAAAGCAACAAAACAGAGAAAAGAAACAUAAAAUAUAAUGGCGGGCUUAAGACAUAAGAUUUACAUUAAAUGUAAGUGACAUAAAUGCAAGAUUAAAUCUCAGUCUGAGUCACAAUUAAGACUGAGUCUAGGAGACUGGAUAAAA